CAUGAAAUAACAAUAGAAUAGAAACUAAUACUGAGUUUGGAGUCAUUGUGCAGGUGAACAUGUCAUGAUGGUUCUCAGCUCUCAGUCAUGUUCUUUAUUCUGACAGAGACACAAUCAUUCCAACAGAUGUUUUGACUCCUGUCAUCAAUAAUGAAAUGAACUAGAGCUGAAAACUAUCCGACUAACACUGAACCAAACUUAAUAUGAACAAACACGACACACACGUCCGCUGCUCUGCUCUUUACCAGCUCGUCCAGACACGACAGUUCACUGUAAUAACGGGAUCGUUUAGUGACCGUGAUUUACCGACAUUGACAACCCGCUGUCUCUGUAAUAUUACAAGGUUUCUCCUCAUAUAUUAGAUUACAUUAGAUUAACUUUAUUAAUCCCACAACUGGGAAAUAACACCUGGUUUCAUGUUGCUACCCUUUUCCCCUAGCUGGGUCGUAACAUAAAGACUGCCAACAUGCGGUGACUGGAAAGACAGCACCAUGACUGCGAUAUAUGGAGAAACCAACAUGGCUGAAGUGAACUGACACCUGGCUCUGUGAGCAGUCCAGUCAGUAAGUGAAAUACUCAGUGAGUAAAAUUUCCGGGCUGUUGUAGCUUCUUUACUUGCAGAAAUCAACUGCCUGGUACUGGAUGUGAGUCCCACAGCGUCAGAGGUUUUACUUUCUCAGCAAAGUGGUUCCACAAAGGGUGUAUAUCUUGAUGCUUCAUGUGAACAGUGCAACACCUGCUGGCCUGAAAGCAAAAUGGGCAAAUACAAACAUUUGUACGUCACAAUCUGAAUAGUUAUCUACUGAAAUGCGCAUGCGCAUCAGCGCCGACCUGUCCCCGUGUUGUAAUACCACUUUGUGACACUAGACGCUGUGUGAAUCAGUGGCGCGUCAAGUCUGCCCUCAGUCCCACGAAGAAGAACAACUUCCGGCCGCGCUUGAAGUUAGCGCCACAGAAACACAGGAAUGGCUGAACCUCCUAAAAGACGAUAUUCAUCUGCGUCUCGAAGGACCGCUCCCGACAAGAAACCACGUUCAACGGCAAAGAAAAGAAGCAACGCGAGUAAAUCUGGAUGUGACUUUCCGCCGCUGGAGAAGCUCUGAGAGGAAAGAGAUGCGGUUUGAUGCCGAGCUCGCAACUUUCCUGUUAGCCCGGUGAGUAGCAUCAAUGCUAGCUCUUUAGCUAAAAGUAUAAUCAGUGCAACGACUGACAAACAUUUCAGGUGGUGAUAUUGACGUUGUCGACAGAUGUUUUAGCGGUUAGUAGGAUUGUGUCUGUUGCUCUCGGCUGUUAGUGACGUGUGCAGCUAGUGACGUCAGUAACUUCAGGCUCAUCUUGUAACUGACUGUAACGUGAGAUUGUAUGGAGCCAGUAGACCGAGUGAAUACACGUCGAUCUGUUCACCAUGUUGUAACCACUUUACAUUUCUGUUAGGAGAUCAGCCAUGAUUGAAAGUGAACUAGGUCUUUACAUUUCUCAGGAGAUUUCAGCAUCCCUCUGUCUUUAUCAGGACCUGAGCCAGUACAGGUGUAAUACCGCCUCCACCUGUCUCAACAACACCUGAGAGUCCAGACACAGUGAGGAGGGUCCAGGUGACAAAGAAGCUGCUGGUGCUGCUUCUGAAACAGUUGCCUGGGUUACCGAUGUUGGUGUGUUGGCUUUCCAGGAUGGCGGCCGGAUUCAUGACGCUGCAUCUUCGAGGUGGAUCCAGGGAGGUGCCUGCCGUUUCAUUGAGGCAUAGCGGUCCGAGCUGGAGGGGAAGCACAGGAUGCUCGGCCUGACUGUUGCCAAGGUGAUCCAGAGGAUCUCCUGGGAGGAGUGGAGGCUCCACUGUUGGAGGAGGACACAUGGGGCAGAGGAGACGUCCUCCUCAUCCAGGAUCUCCAUGUCACCCUGGACGUCUCUUUGCUGGAUUCUCUCUGCAUCCAGGACACAUGGAGACACAGAGGAGCCGCCUCACCUGCAUUCAGGACCCAGCAGGUGCAGCUGAACACAGAGACUGGUAGACUGACAAAGGGGCGGGGUCAGCCUUCUGGUUUCCACCUUAACCACUUCAUCCCACGUACAUGCGUGUGUCUCAGAGCUUGUGAUUCAGUAUAUUGUGUAUUAUCAUUUCAUGCAAACAUAAAAUUCAUUUUUAUCCAUUUUGACCUUUUUCCUCAAGCCAGUGCCAAGUACUUCCAAGCUCCUGGCAACACCUGCCAGACAGAGCAGGAGGAAGAGCGAGUUGUCUUCCCUCCCAGAGACCAGGAUAAUAAAGAGGUGGAUAAAUCUUAUUUAGUAACAAGUAUAAAUUAUAGUAGAGAUGUAAUAUAAUCCUUCAUAGCUCAGUGAGGACGGUGCAACAGAUUGACUGGAAGCUGUUGCAGCCGUCCAUAAGUGAUGGAGGGAAGGUGCAAAAAGUCCAGGAGCCGUUAUUCAUCAUCAGUCUUAGUGUUAGAAAACGUUUUACACUGUGGUUUCACAGUUUAACGUUAGCACACAUGCUAACUUCAACUACAAUAACAUUACAACUUACUCCUCACAUAUAUGAUGGUUUUUGGUUCUUAAAACCACAAAUAUAUUUUCUUAUGGAUCAACACUUCAAAUAAAACACAGAAGAAGAAGAAAAUAUGGAGCUUUAAAAGAUAAAAUAACAGAUGGCAAUAGAAUAAUAUAUGUACCAUACGUAAUUAAAAGCCAAUGCUAACUGCUAGAUGCUAACUGCUGCUACAUUUUUAUUUCUCCACCUGUUCAAUAAACCAG